CCUACGGGAGGCAGCAGUGGGGAAUAUUGCGCAAUGGGCGAAAGCCUGACGCAGCGACGCCGCGUGAGGGAUGACGGCCUUCGGGUUGUAAACCUCUUUCAGCUCUGACGAAGCGAGAGUGACGGUAGGAGCAGAAGAAGCACCGGCCAACUACGUGCCAGCAGCCGCGGUAAUACGUAGGGUGCAAGCGUUGUCCGGAAUUAUUGGGCGUAAAGAGCUCGUAGGCGGUCUGUCGCGUCGAAUGUGAAAACCCGGGGCUCAACCCCGGGCCUGCAUUCGAUACGGGCAGACUAGAGUUCGGUAGGGGAGUCUGGAAUUCCUGGUGUAGCGGUGAAAUGCGCAGAUAUCAGGAGGAACACCGGUGGCGAAGGCGGGACUCUGGGCCGAUACUGACGCUGAGGAGCGAAAGCGUGGGGAGCGAACAGGAUUAGAUACCCUGGUAGUCCACGCCGUAAACGUUGGGCGCUAGGUGUGGGGGUCCUUCCUACGACCUCCGUCGCCGCAGCUACGCAUAAGCGCCCGCCGUCGGGUAGGUACGGCCGCGACGGACGUAAACCGUACGAAACGAAGUAAGUACGGUACGUUGAGAGACGUUCGACGACGACGACCGACGGGAGGGAGGAGG
rnacentral:rRNA from 1 species